rnacentral:lncRNA from 1 species
AUGAUAGGCAAACAAGAACUUUAUCCCUUUCGAUUUAGUAAAGAAAAAAUAAAGUACAAUAGGAAAUACUUUGGGAACUGGGACCAACACAAGAACUACCCACAGUGUCCAAACCCUUCCCCAACCAUCACAGGACUCCAUUUGUCAUCUGUCAGCUAUUUCUUUAACCUUCGUUAUCCCAGUAAUUCCUUAGUAACUCUUACACUAAUUUCCUGUUUUGCUCCUGGCUUGUCUUUUCCUGGGAUCUCUGAGAUUUUAAUCUUGACGCACUCGGGUUUGUUCAGCUCCUGUCACUCCAAACUCAGCAGCCCCCUGUCCAUCCCUCAGCUCCAGAGGAGCCGCCCAGCUCCAUUUCCAGCUUCCGCCUUGUUUGGACUGCAACCAAAAGCCGAGAUAACGUCACCGGCCCCGGCCCAGCUGCCGUCAGCUCCCGCCGACCGGAGCUUCUUCACCUCCGAACUUUCUCCGUUCUUCUCUCACCGACACCUGCGGGGAGCCGGGACCCCCCGUCCCCCCUUCCCCAACAACGGAGCACAACAUGGCGGCGGCCGCGCCCGGCCCUUCCCGCACCGCUCCGCCCUUACCGACUUCUGUCCGCUCCGCUCGCCCACAAGCACGGACACACACGCGGCCCUUCAGGAACCGACCCCGCGCUGUUCCGCCGUCACUGUCCGACCCCCGCCCUCAGCGCUCCCUCCGCUCCGCACCGCCCCUCGCUCUCCCUCACAAAAUGGCGGCCGCGUCCUGCGCCGUUUAACACCCUCUCCCUCCUCCCCCCUCCGCGGGGCCGCUCGGCCGCAGCCAAUAGGAGCGCGCCGCUGGCCCGCUCCACCAAUGGAAGCCAAGCCCCGCCUGUUGCUGGGCGGGCCCGGGGCAGAGCGGCCGCGGCGCGAGGGCGGGCGGGGCCGCCAUUUGAAUCCCCUCACGAAGGGCAGCGCGGGAGCGGCCGCCGCUCUUUGUCCCGCCCGACCCAGCCCGGCCCCGUCCCCAUCCCCAUCCCGAUCCCGCCGUUCGUUGUCCCGCCCGGCCCGGCCCCGUCGCUCUUUGUCCGGUCCGGCCCGGCCUGGCCUCGCCGUUCUUUGUCCCGCCCGGCCCGGCCCCGUCGACGGCACCGCCCGCGGUUCCCCCGGCCCCUCUCCACAGCCCCCCGGCCAGGCUGCCAACAUCGCCUCGCCCGCGAAUUAG